AGCGUACACGGUGGAUGCCCUGGCAGUCAGAGGCGAUGAAGGACGUGCUAAUCUGCGAUAAGCGUCGGUGAGGUGAUAUGAACCGUUAUAACCGGCGAUUUCCGAAUGGGGAAACCCAGUGUGUUUCGACACACUAUCAUUAACUGAAUCCAUAGGUUAAUGAGGCGAACCGGGGGAACUGAAACAUCUAAGUACCCCGAGGAAAAGAAAUCAACCGAGAUUCCCCCAGUAGCGGCGAGCGAACGGGGAGGAGCCCAGAGCCUGAAUCAGUGUGUGUGUUAGUGGAAGCGUCUGGAAAGGCGCGCGAUACAGGGUGACAGCCCCGUACACAAAAAUGCACAUACUGUGAGCUCGAUGAGUAGGGCGGGACACGUGGUAUCCUGUCUGAAUAUGGGGGGACCAUCCUCCAAGGCUAAAUACUCCUGACUGACCGAUAGUGAACCAGUACCGUGAGGGAAAGGCGAAAAGAACCCCGGCGAGGGGAGUGAAAAAGAACCUGAAACCGUGUACGUACAAGCAGUGGGAGCCUCUUAAUGGGGUGACUGCGUACCUUUUGUAUAAUGGGUCAGCGACUUAUAUUCUGUAGCAAGGUUAACCGAAUAGGGGAGCCGAAGGGAAACCGAGUCUUAACUGGGCGUUAAGUUGCAGGGUAUAGACCCGAAACCCGGUGAUCUAGCCAUGGGCAGGUUGAAGGUUGGGUAACACUAACUGGAGGACCGAACCGACUAAUGUUGAAAAAUUAGCGGAUGACUUGUGGCUGGGGGUGAAAGGCCAAUCAAACCGGGAGAUAGCUGGUUCUCCCCGAAAGCUAUUUAGGUAGCGCCUCGUGAAUUCAUCUCCGGGGGUAGAGCACUGUUUCGGCAAGGGGGUCAUCCCGACUUACCAACCCGAUGCAAACUGCGAAUACCGGAGAAUGUUAUCACGGGAGACACACGGCGGGUGCUAACGUCCGUCGUGAAGAGGGAAACAACCCAGACCGCCAGCUAAGGUCCCAAAGUCAUGGUUAAGUGGGAAACGAUGUGGGAAGGCCCAGACAGCCAGGAUGUUGGCUUAGAAGCAGCCAUCAUUUAAAGAAAGCGUAAUAGCUCACUGGUCGAGUCGGCCUGCGCGGAAGAUGUAACGGGGCUAAACCAUGCACCGAAGCUGCGGCAGCGACACUAUGUGUUGUUGGGUAGGGGAGCGUUCUGUAAGCCUGUGAAGGUGGCCUGUGAGGGUUGCUGGAGGUAUCAGAAGUGCGAAUGCUGACAUAAGUAACGAUAAAGCGGGUGAAAAGCCCGCUCGCCGGAAGACCAAGGGUUCCUGUCCAACGUUAAUCGGGGCAGGGUGAGUCGACCCCUAAGGCGAGGCCGAAAGGCGUAGUCGAUGGGAAACAGGUUAAUAUUCCUGUACUUGGUGUUACUGCGAAGGGGGGACGGAGAAGGCUAUGUUGGCCGGGCGACGGUUGUCCCGGUUUAAGCGUGUAGGCUGGUUUUCCAGGCAAAUCCGGAAAAUCAAGGCUGAGGCGUGAUGACGAGGCACUACGGUGCUGAAGCGACAAAUGCCCUGCUUCCAGGAAAAGCCUCUAAGCAUCAGGUAACAUUAAAUCGUACCCCAAACCGACACAGGUGGUCAGGUAGAGAAUACCAAGGCGCUUGAGAGAACUCGGGUGAAGGAACUAGGCAAAAUGGUGCCGUAACUUCGGGAGAAGGCACGCUGAUAUGUAGGUGAAGCGACUUGCUCGUGGAGCUGAAAUCAGUCGAAGAUACCAGCUGGCUGCAACUGUUUAUUAAAAACACAGCACUGUGCAAACACGAAAGUGGACGUAUACGGUGUGACGCCUGCCCGGUGCCGGAAGGUUAAUUGAUGGGGUUAGCGGCAACGCGAAGCUCUUGAUCGAAGCCCCGGUAAACGGCGGCCGUAACUAUAACGGUCCUAAGGUAGCGAAAUUCCUUGUCGGGUAAGUUCCGACCUGCACGAAUGGCGUAAUGAUGGCCAGGCUGUCUCCACCCGAGACUCAGUGAAAUUGAACUCGCUGUGAAGAUGCAGUGUACCCGCGGCAAGACGGAAAGACCCCGUGAACCUUUACUAUAGCUUGACACUGAACAUUGAGCCUUGAUGUGUAGGAUAGGUGGGAGGCUUUGAAGUGUGGACGCCAGUCUGCAUGGAGCCGACCUUGAAAUACCACCCUUUAAUGUUUGAUGUUCUAACGUGGGCCCGUAAUCCGGGUUGCGGACAGUGUCUGGUGGGUAGUUUGACUGGGGCGGUCUCCUCCUAAAGAGUAACGGAGGAGCACGAAGGUUGGCUAAUCCUGGUCGGACAUCAGGAGGUUAGUGCAAUGGCAUAAGCCAGCUUGACUGCGAGCGUGACGGCGCGAGCAGGUGCGAAAGCAGGUCAUAGUGAUCCGGUGGUUCUGAAUGGAAGGGCCAUCGCUCAACGGAUAAAAGGUACUCCGGGGAUAACAGGCUGAUACCGCCCAAGAGUUCAUAUCGACGGCGGUGUUUGGCACCUCGAUGUCGGCUCAUCACAUCCUGGGGCUGAAGUAGGUCCCAAGGGUAUGGCUGUUCGCCAUUUAAAGUGGUACGCGAGCUGGGUUUAGAACGUCGUGAGACAGUUCGGUCCCUAUCUGCCGUGGGCGCUGGAGAACUGAGGGGGGCUGCUCCUAGUACGAGAGGACCGGAGUGGACGCAUCACUGGUGUUCGGGUUGUCAUGCCAAUGGCACUGCCCGGUAGCUAAAUGCGGAAGAGAUAAGUGCUGAAAGCAUCUAAGCACGAAACUUGCCCCGAGAUGAGUUCU
rnacentral:rRNA from 1 species